AUCAUCAUUAUUGUCUUCCUCCUGUAAAAAAUAGACUCGAAUACAGGACUACAAUCCCCAUGAGCCUUUGCUCCACUUCCCCAGAAUGCCUUGUAAUCUCACCUGGGCCGAGAUCGAGAAGAUAUUUAAGCAAAGGCUUUUGAAGGGCUCGGGGCUUUUGGACUUCCGUUUUUGGAGCAGAGGCGUCUCUUCCAUGAUGUGAGGUUAUUUUGUCUAGGCCUUUGGCCUAGGCACAUGUUUCUUACUUGUAUAUUCUUAAUCUUUAACUUUAAUAAACCUCUAAAAAAUAUAAUACUCCUUGUAGAGAGAAACUAAUUUCUACCUGCCUCAGAUGCCUCAGUCUCCCCCUCUCCCCUAAAUUUUAAUCAUUACAGUUAUGGCGACCUAAUGGGAAAAAAACUCAGUCUUCUGAUUUCUUUUCUGAUCUUAAAUUCAAUUUUAAUAGCUAGUACCUAGAAAUUUUUUUUUUGAGCCAUAUCUCACUGGCCAAGGUUUUCUACCCUCGCAAAGCUGCUACAGGCUCCGGACCUGCUGCCCACCCCACCUGGCUCGGUACCGCCGCUUCCUGCCUCAGCCUGCAGCCCUGAUUGUCCUCACCUGGUACCUGGUCCCGGCCUUGCCCACCCCCGCAGCCGCUCCAGCUCCAGCUCCUGGCCUCUCACCGGCCCGCUGCCUGCCUAUUUCUGCGCCUAAGACCCUCGAGCGUGACCCCAGCCGGCUUAUCACCCAGAUCCUUGGAGCAGAUCGCUCAGGACUCAUUGCGACCAGCUGGUAACAGUAUUGGCCACGUGGGCGGAGGGGAGAGACCAGAGGGAAAGGAGACCGGGCAAUUUUCCCUUAGGCUAAGCCUCCACGUGGCUGGCGGUAUUGGCCACAGGGGUAUCAGAGAGGGGAAAGACAGAAAAGACUAAAGAGAAGAAACAGAUCUUUUCAAACAGAAACUUAAUAGCAAUGGGCUGUUUAAAAGGAUUUUUGACUCUUCUGGCAGUUUCAUUGAUUUUACCUGCCUGUCAGGGAGCAGACUCAACCCAAAGAUUCAACUUUAACUUUGGGGAGGAAAAUGGGUGGCCCAGCGAACUGGAAGCCAGGCCCAGAGACGGGAGGUCUCUAGUUAAAAUCUGGCCUCAGAUACUCCCCAGCUAUGGGGCCCUGGACGGAUCCCUUGAACCCCGUAGCCUAGCCUUUACUACUCUACCUUCGGACAAUAGACAUUUAAAUGGAUAAAUAAAAACAAACAAACAAAAAAAAACCCCAAGGAACUUUGAAGAGGCUAAAGGCUAUAUUCUAAGGCAUUUCAGACUCUAAUGGUUUAUAAAAUUAUCUGUAUUCUAUUGCAUUUUUUGUUUAAGAUAUAACUUUGUGAUUUUAAGUUCAUAUAUUACUGGAUUGAAUAUUAUUCUGUGAACUGAAGGUUGAUUGAAUUUAUUUUGAAUGUACUGAGUUUUGAAAUUCUGUUGUUUUCCCCCUAUAACUGUGUUGAAAAAAUAUUAUUGUGAAUAAGCCCAUAUAUGAAAAAACAGCUUUUUUCUAUUUUGCUGAGGAUAGAUGGACUUCAGAACUGGUUAUAAUUGUAUUAACAACCUUUGAAAAUUUAAUGUGCUAAAUACCUCAAAUGAUUUGAUUUUAAGGGUUUUUUAAAUAUGAUUUUGGAAUUUUUUUUAACAAUCUGGUUAUUUUGCCUGCCCCUGCCACGAGGUAAGGCCCAUUCUAGUAGCUGAAGUGAAAUGUAUUUUAUAACCCCCAACCUUCCCACGUGUGAAUGGAAGUUGGGCAGUUAAUUUCAGGGCAUUUGUACCCUUGGGAAAAGCCUCCAAGAACAAGGAGCACCCCUUUAUUUAUGCUCUUCAGCUCACUAUUUUACUUCUACCAGGAUGAUAUAUAGAUUUCUUGAUUAUGUUCUAAACCCAAGAUGAGUUUUACUUUGUUUUAAAAUAUGUUUAAAUACCAAGGUUGAAGGAUUGCUCUGUUUGUAAAAAUUGUGACAAAUGUCCAUCAAUUCAUAGGUUUUAAAAAUGUCAUACAGCAACUUAUGUGAAAUAUGAAAGUGUGUUUGUUUGCUAUUGUAAUUAAUUGGGCUAUUGAGAAUUUUGGGGAUAUUGAUACUACAUAUUUGUACUACUGUAUUUUUAAAGAUGAAAAAUUGUUAACCUUGUUCAAUUCAUUUGCCUUCUACUCACAGUGAUCAUGGCCAGAUACAAAGAGGAAAUGGAUCUCAUUUUUUGGUGAGAAAACCUUGCAUUUUAUAUUUUCUUAACUGACACAGAGUGUCAAUGGUUAUAAGCUAUAUUUUUGAAUUUUUUAAAGCUCUUUUUUUAUUAUAUUUUUCUUGCAUGUGCAAUAUACUUUUUCAGUUUUUUUUAUUAUUUUUUCUCUCCUUUUUAUAUUUGAAGCACAUGUCACCAGUAUUAAGAUUUUCUUUAACUUUUUGACUUUUCAGUGCUACAAGUUUGAAAUACAUUUGCUAAUGCAUGCCCUAGAAAGCUUGUGACUAUAAAAAUUAUGCCACUAAUUAUUUAAAUAAAUUAUGGGACUUUGCUUAAUGAUUCUGUCUGAUUCUAGGACAAGAUAUACACAAAAGAGCCACUGCAUAGUGCCAAUAGAGCAUAAGGUCAAAGAGACCAACUAAUCCUGGAGAAAUUGACGUCACUUUGAGCCUAGACAAAGAGGACUUGAACGUGUUUGGGGUUCGAGGUUGCGGCUGUUUAACAUGUGUUAAAAGCAGGUCUUCCUUGUUCCACAUUCUACCAAGUACCUCAAACUUGGCUCCCGGAACCUUGGCUUAUAUACUCUAGUCCCCUUUUCUGCCUCUCAUAGUGUGGUACCUUUCUGUAGUCCUGGCACUGACUGGGUAAAUGCAUCAUUACUUAGAUCAUUUUGAUUGGGCCCUGAUUGAAGGACCUGUUAUAGAUUUAUUUUUCUUCUACUUUGAAUUUUUACACAUAAGACUUUGAUAGUCUAUAUUUUCAUCCAGAAAUUUUUCUUUUCUUUUGGAUUUUCUGAUGUCUUUUUAAUAUCUCUUGCCAAUUGAUUCAUAUACCUCAUACCUCAGCCAUGCAUCCCUAACUGAUUCUGAAUCUUUCAAUCACCCACAACACGGGGGAAUGUAAAAAAUAUCAUUAUUCAAAUUGCAAAGUUUAAAUUCUUUUUGAGAAGAAUUUUAGGUAAAGAAGAUGCUACCUCUCUGAAUCCAGAACUGAACUGUUGGAGAAGCCACCAUGAAGAAGCCUCCAGACCACAAGUUGCACAAAAUUGAACUUUGGGUGUGGUUGAUUGAACAUUUAUUUGUAUGUAUACUUUUAUGCCAAAGGGGACUGUCCCCUAACGGCUUUUUGUCAAUGUGUUCAGAAAUUAUUGGUUUUAUUCUUUUUUCUCUUAUCCUCACACUAUUGUAAUCUUUUAAGUUUAUUAUGUUUUUAUGAUCCUUUUGGGGAAAAAUUAAUUUUUCCACAAAUGAUCACACGGGGGGGAUGUAAAAAAUAGACUCGAAUACAGGACUACAAUCCCCAUGAGCCUUUGCUCCACUUCCCCAGAAUGCCUUGUAAUCUCACCUGGGCCGAGAUCGAGAAGAUAUUUAAGCAAAGGCUUUUGAAGGGCUCGGGGCUUUUGGACUUCCGUUUUUGGAGCAGAGGCGUCUCUUCCAUGAUGUGAGGUUAUUUUGUCUAGGCCUUUGGCCUAGGCACAUGUUUCUUACUUGUAUAUUCUUAAUCUUUAACUUUAAUAAACCUCUAAAAAAUAUAAUACUCCUUGUAGAGAGAAACUAAUUUCUACCUGCCUCAGAUGCCUCAGUCUCCCCCUCUCCCCUAAAUUUUAAUCAUUACACUCCUCUUCCUCCUCCUUCUCCUCCUUCCUUUUCUCCCUCCCUUCUCCUUCCUUGAUGUCAGAAAUAUGAUUUUUGGGGAGUGGGGUUUGGAGGAAAAUUGAAGAGAUCUGGAGAAAGUAGUUAAACUGCCAUUGUGCUAGUCAUGUGACCUGUACACUUUUCUGUUUUCAAGAUAAUUCUGGAAUUAUCUCUCAACUCUUGCCUGCCCAUCCCUCCAUGGCCAAGAGGUCAAAGACAACAAUCUAUUAGACCUUAUCUGGUGGCCUGAAGUCUCAGAACCAGCCCUGAUUUUGCCUGAACAUAAUAGAAAUCUUCAUUUUGGUUACAAGUAGGACCUUUAGCAUCCUCCUCCAGAGAGAAUUCCAGCAUGUUCAGCUUGGCACUACCCAAGAGGAUGGUCUGCUAUUGGAAGAGAAUCAUGCUUCUGAUGAUUUUAGCAUUUUCUGGGGUGUAUUUUGGGUCAGUCUCAGCCCUGGUAUGCCAUCAUUGCGACUUAAGUGUGGAUUGUGUCAACCCAGAAACCUGUAAUGAAGGACAAUUUGUCUGUAUCUUGGACUUAAUUAAAGUUCCAAACUAUACCUCAGUUCAAAAGAUAUGCUUCUCAAGUUGUAAGGACUACCUUUUAUUAGAGAAUCCACAAAAAAAAGGCCGCAUUUCAAGCAAAAGCAAUGAAUCCCAUUGGCUCGAUCAACACAAUCUGCGUGCUGACUACCAUCAUCAUAAUGAAGUUGGAGUACACAAAGAAAAGGUCUCCCUGGAGCAUCUCAUUGUGUGCUGUGACAAAGACCUGUGUAACCAGGCCAGGAUCAGGAGUCCAGAAGGCUUAAUUCUUCUCUUUGGGCUCCUACUCAACUUCCUCCCCUCUUCAAUUCUGUGACAUUGUUAGACCCUUCUAAGACAAUUUUCUCAUAUUAAGAUCUCAUAGAAUAUUCAUAGUAAUUAAAAGUAAGUCGAAUUGACUUAUGCUGGACUUACACUCCGAUUUUGGUUUCUAAAUGUAUUUCUGGAAGGUUUAUCAGAGGACUUACCUGCUCAACUUGCCGAGCUGACAGAUUGGUCUUGUUUACCCUCUGAUUGUAUAUCAUCAGCUGGGGAUGAAUUGGUUGGCUCAGUAAGUCCUCUGGGCUAGAGCAGUUUGAUCCUUAAUGCUAGACCCCUAAAAGAGAGUCUAUGGGGCAGAUUUAUCUCUCCAUUUCCCCUUUUACAACAUAUAUGUCAGUACUCCUUGGUCUCUGGAGUGUAUACAACUGCACAUUAGCAGAGACUCCCCUUCAGGAACUGACCAACCAGCCAUCCUGCCAUCAGCCCUAGAAAUGACCAACUCGACUUUGAGCUAUAGUCAAGUGAGUCCAGAUGCUUAGUUCCUGGUCUGAAUGAAUCCCUGGAUUCAGCCCUAGAGGCUCAAGCAGAUGCCCUCUGCAACUAGAAGUUCAGCAAUGGACUAAAGCCACAACAUUGAGGGGAAACAUUUUUCAAGUUUUAUCCUCUGCUACCGCUGUGAAACAAUUUGGAUGGUGCAAUUCAAUUAGGAAGGGGAUUGCUGAGUCUGGAAUGUCUAUUCCUUCAAGGUAGUACCAUAAGCUUAGAUGCCACAAUUAGUGAAACUGAGGCAAACAGAAGGGAAGCGAAUUGCCUGUGGACACAUAGCUAGAAAGGUUCCAGAAUGUCUGAGACUGGAUUUGAACUCAGAUCUUCCUGACUUCAAGCCCAGCUCUUAACAAUCUAACUGCCUAGUUGAAAGUUCAUAAAUCCAGUACUUAUAAGAGCCGGAUCCCAAAUAACUAGGGGGGGGGGACCAUAAAUAUAAAACUAACAAAAGUAAAGAAAGGGGGAGAGGAAAAACCUUAAUUUCUUCUCUCAGAGGCAAAGUCUAAUCCCAUAUGAGCUCCCAGAACAUGAAGAGCUUUCCCAACAUAAAUUGGGGACUUGGAGUAGAAUGGAAGUCACCACCUCAUUAUCAGGUGAAAAGUUAAAAUGUCCUUGGGGGGGGAUUCUUCCUAUCAAAACCUUCAGCAGGGAAGACAAACCACACAUUAACCCCUUACCACCCCCCCAAAAAUCUUCUGCCAAUGCAUAUAGAAAUCCAAAAGGAAAUCCAAGUGAAAUGUCUUCUUGGGCCCCUGCAACACAGAAGAAAGUUAAUUUUUCUCCAGUAGAUCCCUAAAAAGUCAUCAUGAAUUAUAAGUGGAGAUUUGAACCCACAAGUGAUAGAACAACCUGUUUAGAUCCAAAAAGCAAGCAAGCAAACAAGCACAGAUGAGUCUCAAAGACU